AUUGAACGCUGGCGGCAUGCUUUACACAUGCAAGUCGAACGGCAGCACGAGUGCUUGCACUUGGUGGCGAGUGGCGAACGGGUGAGUAAUACAUCGGAACGUGUCCUGAAGUGGGGGAUAACGCAUCGAAAGAUGUGCUAAUACCGCAUAAUCUCUCAGGAGGAAAGCAGGGGAUCGAAAGACCUUGCGCUUUUGGAGCGGCCGAUGUCUGAUUAGCUAGUUGGUGGGGUAAUGGCCUACCAAGGCAACGAUCAGUAGUUGGUCUGAGAGGAUGGCCAACCACACUGGGACUGAGACACGGCCCAGACUCCUACGGGAGGCAGCAGUGGGGAAUUUUGGACAAUGGGGGAAACCCUGAUCCAGCAAUGCCGCGUGAGUGAAGAAGGCC
rnacentral:rRNA from 1 species